GUUUCGUUCGUCUGCCUGGCUGCAUCGGUGGGCUUGCUGGUGCAAGAUGCCCUGACUGACAAGGGCCCUUCCGUGUGGACUGGUGUCGCUGGCGUUCUGCAGUGUGUUUUCGUGUUGAUAAGUGGCUUGACUUACUGGACGUGCCACUCUUCUGACGAUUAAGUGGUCAAAUAUGUUCUGAGAAGACUUGGAAGGUUGGUCAAAAUCUAUGUGGGUUAAGGAUCAAAAUGUUCCGAGCAGACUUGGAAGGUCGGUCAACAUCUUUUGAAGACGUCUUGUCUACCAGUGUGUGGUUCUGUGUAAAUUAUGUCCACUUCGUGGCGGGAAAGACUGGGUGCUUACUGUGUGAAUAACUGACUGCUUCCUGAAAUGAUCUGUAGCAUCAGUACUCUACGUGUUUAUCCUAAUUUGUUCUGAGCUCCUGCUGCUUGCCUUGGGGUUAGAAUAUAUAAAUUGGAGCAUGAGCUGCCUGCAGCAAAUCGUUAUUGUCAAAUCUCUUGAGUGUGGAAGUUGGGUUGACUCCAUUGUUAAAGCAGAUGGGCGGUUGCUCGCAGAUUCUUUCUUGGUGAUCGUAAGACAUAAUGUCACUUGGUUCUUUUCGG